ACAAGACAAAAACAAUAGUCCUUCAGGGACAAAGCCCCUUUGGACUAAAAAUGAAAAAAUACAAAUAAGAUUUCUACACAGCCCCUUGAAGAAAUAGAGAAAUAUGAUCGCUCUUGCUAGACACGUUUUAGAACAUACACAAAUCUAUCCUGAAAAGUUAAAAGAAGUAGCCCUAAUAGUAACAGCUCUUCCGUCUAUUGAAGUUAGUGCGGAAAGACUGUUUUCAGCUCUGUAAUUUAUGAAAUUUGAUCUAUGAUCCUUUAUCAAAGGAGAUCUUGCCGAAGCGUUUCUUGCUGUUUGCUUGAUCGUGUUGUUUUUGCUUGAUGUUGCUGCUUCUUAGCUAUUACUAAUGCCAGUUUUUCCAUUUCAUAAUAAAUGCUAAUUAAUAUAAUUAAUCUGCUAUGCCAUCAAUUCUUUUCCGUAGUAUCUAUUACUUCUUUUAUAUUAAAAAGAAAUGCUGUACCACAUGUGUAUAUGUUAACAUAUAUAUAUAUAUAUAUAUAUGAGGGAGUCGGAGCCUUAAACUUCCAGGAGUCAGAGCCGGGGUUGGUCAUUUUCCCUACCGACUCCACAGCCCUGAUGAACAUUUUUCGUGUAAUGAAAAAACAAGGUUUAUGAAUGUGUAAAAUUUGUUGCUUAUUAAAACGCUAUCUGUAUUCGAGUUUAUAUGAAGUGCAAAGAAUAAUCUUUUGAAACAAAUAGGAAAUUAGCUAACAGACUUAAUAUUUUUGAAUGAUUUUGUCUACUAGAUAUUCUGUACUACAUUUGAAAUUAUGUCAUUAAAUACUACAUAAAAUAUGUCAUAAAAUUACUAUACUAUAUUUCAUAUUCCAUCAUUAAAAUAUAAAAUUUUCACUUAGCACCAGUGGAGGACCUUUGCAGUUGCUUCUAAUUUCCAUUUCUUAUAUAUACCUCCUGUGGAUUGAUCGCAUUGCAUGGACAUGUUCAGAAUUUCGAUCAUGGUGAUCCGUAAGAUGUUUUAUGAAGAUUCUUAGGAUCUAAAAAAUCAAAAUUUCUUCAGUUCUUUGUUUAUGUUUAUAUAAGAUGCGCUUAAUUAAACAUAAUUUAUUUUUUGAUAUCGUUGAUUUUAUGUUAUUUCUCCAAUUUUUCUUUAUAUAUUUGUUUACUGUUGGUUCUCUUUAUUUUGUAAUGUAAAUUUUCAAUUAUUUUUCACAAGGAUGUCUAUUUAAAUCAACAUUUGUCUAUUAUAUAUUACUGUCACAGUCACUUUCUAAAUUGUGUAGACAAUAUGUAUUGAAAUUUUUAUUAAUUGACCACUUGAUAAUGUCAUGCAUACUUUUGUGAAACAUUAAUUCUUUAAUUUUUUUAUCUUAUUUUACAGGCAGAUCCAGCAGCCCGUUUAAAAAUAGAAUUAAACUCAAAAAAUGUUCGCUUUGCCGUUAUGCUACUCAGAAGAAUUCUGACCUUCAAGAACAUUUGAAAACUCACAAGAUAUAUCCUCGUUUUGUUUGUCAUGUCUGCAAAAAAAAAUUUAAUUUGAAAAGUCAACUUCGAAGUCAUUUACAGGUUCAUUCUCGAACACCGUAUUAUAUGUGUGAAAAGUGUAAUAAAACCUUCAAAGCGUUAUUAUAUCUUGAGCAGCAUUCAAGAGUUCAUACUGGAGACCGGCCUUAUGCUUGUGAAAUAUGCAGCAAAAGAUUUAAACAGAAAUCACAUCUUGUGGCUCAUUCGAGGAUUCAUACUGGAGAGAAACCUUUUGCUUGUAAAAUUUGCAAGAAAGCGUUUAAGCAGAAAUCACAUCUUGAUUCACAUUUAAAGAAACAUGAAGAAAAAUAACCACUCUCGUAAGACUUUUCACAUUAUACAAAAUUUUGACGUGCAUUGAAAGAUUCAUUCUGAAAAGCACCCCCCCCCUUUUCGUGAAAUAUUUGACAAACAUUUCGUCAAAAAUCACAUCUUGACUCACAUUUAAAAAUUCAUAUUGGAGAGUGUCUUUUGUUUAUGCUUGGUAGAAUAAAACCGUAAAUGGCUCCAAUUGAUUACUUGAUGCGCAUUUAAAGAUUUCUUUCUGAGUGUGCAAAACAUGUAAUGAAAAACAUGCUAUUAAAACCCAUUUAAAAUAUGCAGUGUAUUAUAAGCAAUUAGCUAUUUGUCCCGUUCAUGCAUUCUUUAAGUAAAUGGUUAACAUAUCCAUCUGGCAGUUGGAAGAUCCGUGGUUCGAACUUUCGAAAGGAUGCAGGCGAUCUUUGACGUUUCCUGCACCUAAGCCAUUAGAUUCCUUACAGUAUAUCCGUAAAAUGCACUGUUUGUGGCAGCAGAUCCCGAUAGAAAAGCAGCAUGAAUGUGUGGAAACAGUAUGAAUAAGCUAAUGUGAAUUAAUACUGCUGGUGUUUCGAUGAUGUUUAUAACUAGAGCUUAAGUAAAUUUUGGAGUCUUGAUAUAAAUAUAUAUCAUAUGAGUGCAUUGUUUAUGACUGCAAGUACAAUAGAACGCCAAUUAUCCGAAUCAGUUGAAACCGGACCCCAUUCGGAUAAUCAAAUAUUCGAAUAAUUGGAUUUUCCCGAAGAAAGUGGUCUUCGAAGACUUUAAUUAAUUACUGUAUGUUGAAAAUGGAAGAAAAAACUAUUUUUAAAGAAAAAGAGGUUUUAAUUAAAAUGAAAAGGCAACACUUUUACGUACAUGUUAUAUAGCGUAUUGUACUUACAAGUGCUGGAAGUCAUUGCUUAACAUUUUGGUCAACGUAAGCUGUUUCACUGUCUUCAUCCAUUUUCAGACAGCCAAGUCGUGCGUCCGCUCGACAGUUGAGACGUUGUAUGUGGUCACACUCGGGCUGACGCUCCAUCCACUUCAAUGCAGUUUCAAGGCCGGCAAACGCUUCACUAACUGAUGGUCCCAUGUCUGCUUCAACUUCGACAUUAAGGCAGAUGUAGCAGCCCGACUGAAAAUGAAAGUAAAAUCUUGAAAUGUUCAUUUUGCAAUCGUGUUGCUGAAAAUGACGACGACCUUCAAGAACAUUUGCAGGUUCAUAACAUAGGUCCUUGCCAAAAAACGUU
rnacentral:misc_RNA from 1 species